AGACCAUACAUCCAAACUUUUUAACAUGCCACUCUUUCUUCUACAAUCUAAUAAUUUAUCUUAAGAGAAAAAUAAUAUAUAUAUAUACAUUAUUUUGAACAAAAAAAUUGUUUGAAAUUCAAUAUCAUAUGGGACCUACGAGAUUAAGACUAGGUUUCAAUUACAUCAAUUCUCCAUAAAAAAAAAUACUAAUAAAUAUAUUCAUGAAAAAAUAUCAAUUAAUGAAGUUACAAAGGCAAACAUAAAAGAAAAAACAAAUUUGGAGGUCGAAGUGUUUCCCACAAUUGGGAUUAGAACUCACAAUAAAAAUCAAGUGGCUUUCGAUGGUAGUUGAUGAGGUUGGAGAUCCUCACGUAAGCGAUGAAGUGGCUGAUAUUAUGAGUUGUAGAGAGAUUGCAACGGUUGAGAAUUUGCAAAUCAAAUCUUCUUGAAGGGUUAUAAGAACUCUUCGAUCAUCAUCUCAAUAAAGAAAGGAGCUUCAAAGAGCUAAAGUAAGCUCUGUAUAUACGUGCGUGGUGGGUAAAGAAACCUAAAAACUGGUUAUGAAAUGUUAAAGAAGAAGUUUGGAAAAAUGCAGGGCUUGAAGGGCUCACGAGCCAUAGUAACUUGCAUGAAAAUAAAAACAAAAGGAUCAAUCACCUUGGAGGAUGAAAUGGUUAAUGGAGUAAUAUUUAAGUGAAAAGAUGCUCUAUCACAGUCUAGUUGUUUAUUGGUGGUGGGAGAACGCGUGAGGGCAUGACCUCAACUGCAAAAAGGUGCGACUGAGACCUCAUUUGGAUUCACUCACUUGGCCAUAUUUUAUUCAGGUAUCUUAUCGUUAGGAUUGGUCAUCACACUGAUCAUCCAAUAAAACUCUAUUUGAACACAAGUGAUUCUCGGACAUUACCACCUCGGAU
rnacentral:lncRNA from 1 species